rnacentral:rRNA from 1 species
AACUAUAACGGUCCUAAGGUAGCGAAAUUCCUUGUCAGGUAAGUUCUGACCCGCACGAAAGGCGUAACGAUUUGGGCGCUGUCUCAGCUGUAGACUCGGUGAAGUCUUAGUACCUGUGAAGAUGCAGGUUACCCGCGACUAGACGGAAAGACCCCAUGGAGCUUUACUGUAGCUUGAUAUUGGACUUUGAUGCAAGAUGUACAGGAUAGGUAGGAGACUGAGAGACAUGCACGCCAGUGUGUGAGGAGUCAAUGUUGGGAUACUACUCUUCUUGUAUUGGAGUUCUAACCGGAUGCCAUGGAACUGGCAACGGGACAGUGUCAGGUGGGCAGUUUGACUGGGGCGGUCGCCUCCCAAAGAGUAACGGAGGCGCCCAAAGAUACCCUCAGCUUGGAUGGAAAUCAAGCGCAGAGUGCAAAGGCAUAAGGGUGUUUGACUGCGAGACCUACAAGUCGAGCAGGGACGAAAGUCGGGCUUAGUGAUCCGGCGGUGCUGAAUGGAAAGGCCGUCGCUCAACGGAUAAAAGCUACCCUGGGGAUAACAGGCUGAUCUCCCCCAAGAGUCCACAUCGACGGGGAGGUUUGGCACCUCGAUGUCGGCUCAUCGCAUCCUGGGGCUGUAGUCGGUCCCAAGGGUUGGGCUGUUCGCCCAUUAAAGCGGUACGCGAGCUGGGUUCAGAACGUCGUGAGACAGUUCGGUCCCUAUCUGUCGUGGGCGUAGGAAGUUUGAGAAGAUCUGUCCUCAGUACGAGAGGACCGGGAUGGACAUAUCAAUGGUGCACCAGUUGUCACGCCAGUGGCACAGCUGGGUAGCUAAAUAUGGAAGGGAUAAACGCUGAAGGCAUCUAAGUGUGAAACCCACUUCAAGAUGAGACUUCCCAUUACGCAAGUAAGUAAGACCCCUUAAAGACGAUAAGGUUGAUAGGUCAGGAGUGUAAGCAUGGCGACAUGUUCAGCGGACUGAUACUAAUAGGUCGAGGACUUAACCU